UGGUGUCUCAUUUACUACUGUAGUACAUUAUUCUGCAUACAGGAGUGAACGCCUUGUUGGUUGCGAUGUCAUGUUUUUUUUUACAUAGUGUCUAUUUAUCCUGGCUGUUUAUUGGCCCCGAUGUUAACCACGUAUACGGAUGCAGCGCAAUGAUCUCCUCCCCUUUGAUCUGCGGUCCUCCGGCCUCGUCUGGAGCCUAAAGCUUAUAAUAAACAGAUGUUCAAUUGUUGAUCGCUAUCAGUUGAGCUACAGAGACAUCUAUCUGUAUGGGACUGUGGUAGAUUAAAAUUUUAUAAAUUAUUUGUCUGAAAUUUUCCAUUUUUUGUCUGGAUUUUCCCUUGUAUUUUCUACAGACGUUAAUGAAUGCUCCACUAGAAAUGGUGGCUGUCAGCAAACGUGUACAAAUGUUAUAGGAAGUUUUGCGUGCUCGUGCCAGAAUGGCUAUACCCUUAACAACGAUGGGUUUAAUUGCGAUGACGUAGAUGAAUGUGCUUCCGGAAAUGGAGGGUGCGAGCAGACGUGUACGAAUUUCAUCCCGAGUUUUCAAUGUUCGUGCGAUGUUGGAUAUGGUCUGAAUGCCGAUGGGUUUGGGUGUGACGACGUGGAUGAAUGUGCCUCUACAAACGGCGGCUGUGACCAGACCUGCAAUAAUAGCAUUGGGAGCUUCCAGUGUUCCUGCUUGAACGGUUACAACCUAAAUGCUAACGCACUAGCAUGUGACGGUAAGGAUAUAUCUUUCUGGAUUUAACACUUUCUGGAUUAACUCGAUGCAAACAUAUUCGACGUCCAGAUAAAAGACAAAUCUCUGAAAGGAUUUAAUACGGAUAUUAAUUUCGGACGUUUCCAGUAA